AUUGAACGCUGGCGGCAGGCCUAACACAUGCAAGUCGAACGAGCGGCGGACGGGUGAGUAAUGUGUGGGAAACUGCCUGAUGGGGGGGGAUAACUACUGGAAACGGUAGCUAAUACAGCAUACCAUCAGAUGUGCCACGAUGGGAUUAGCUAGUAGGUGGGGUAACGGCUCACAUAGGCGCCGAUCCCUAGAUGGUCUGAGAGGAUGACCAGCCACACUGGGACUGAGACACGGCCCAGACUCCUACGGGAGGCAGCAGUGGGGAAUAUUGCACAAUGGGCGCAAGCCUGAUGCAGCCAUGCCGCGUGUAUGAAGAAGGCCUUCGGGUUGUAAAGCACUUUCAGCGGGGAGGCGUUACCCGCAGAAGAAGCACCGGCUAACUCCGUGCCAGCAGCCGCGGUAAUAC
rnacentral:rRNA from 1 species